CGACACAAAGAUAUAUCCCCUCACUCUUUCAAUUUGCAAGUGAUUCGGAUUAACUAUUUCUUGGACUACAAGUAGUUAGUUGUUGGUUAUUGAUGUAGAGGGGGUGACGUCUUUGCCAAGAAGUGCAUAUUGAUGAACAUCAUUGGCAAGCUUUGUUGAAAGUACAGUUUUUCAAAAUUCAUAAUAACGAGCUUAGGCAAAUUGGGUUUGUAAUAUCAUAUAGUGCUGGCUGCAAUUCCACACGCCAAGAAAG